AGUCUGCAGAUUUGGAAACCUGCCCUGCACUUACUCAGGGGGACACUGUGAGGUCACUAACAUAGACUUGCCAGUCUCAAGUGCAGCAAGGAUGCCAUUGUCAAAGGGCUGUAUCAGAAGUGUGUUCACAGCUCACUGAAGGAAACAGGGACAAGUAAUUUUGUUUCUUCUUACUGAUGUAUCUCUCCUGGAGAUGAUCUGUAAUGCAUCAGAGAAGAAUACACUGGGGGAGGUGUGGAAGAGGUACAAGACUUCUGCUGUUCCAGACUUUUCCUUAAGAAGGGCAACUGAGCAGCCUUAA
rnacentral:lncRNA from 1 species